GUCUUGGUAGCUCAGAUGGAAGCGCACCGGGCUAGCGAUCUGGUGGUCGUGGGUUCAAGUCCCACCCAAGACA